GCCAAUGAGCUCCAUAGGACGCCUCUUUCCUCACUUCCUCUAGUCGUGCUGGGCUUGGCUUGGUACUCUUCAGUCACUGGGCAGCCAUCUUGGAUCUAGUUAUCAGGCAACCCUUACUUAGGAGAUGGGAGGAAUCGGAUCGUCAGCGUCUUCUCUAGACAAUCUUUACUUUUGAAAACUAGGGCAUUGGGCAUCGGAAUCCAAGUACUAACUGGACUUUUAACUGGCGUGAUUCUGUGGCAAGCUGGCAGGGAAACCCGAGACCGGUUUUACGCGAUCCCCUUCCCCUUUUCCUUGUCUGAAUGCGGUGCAGUUGUAGAGGGCCUAUUUAGUGUUUGUAUGUUCACUUUACUUCUAACUGCAAAGGACCGGGAGGAUAAUGAUAUUUAAUUGAGCUCGGACUAUGGUCUGCGUUUGGUCAGCUAACUCUGCACGAAGAAAACACGUUUUUCUUUUAUGCGGUUAAUUUUUUUGGGGGUGAGAAAUAGACACUUGUUUUUUUUUCACAGGUGUUUAUGGAAUAAUGUCGUUGUGCAUACAGCUCCGAUCGCUACAUAAUUAGUGUACUCAGGAUAUCCUCAUACAUAAGUUUAUUUUUCCAAGUUUCCAUUGGGCUGCCGCUGGAUUUCUUCUUCAAGUCCAUGGUCUUCAGAAGCAAGCAGAUGAGUAUCUGCAUUUUACUUCUCUAAGGUGCAGUAAAACCAGUAGAUAAACAGAAGUGCCCCUGGAAACUAUACAUUGAUGAAAACAAUGUCAACAAGAACGCCACUGCCUACGGUCAAUGAGCGAGACACUGAAAAUCACACCUCGCACAGUGAUGGGCAGACGGAGAUUACCACUCGACCUGGACGCUCCGGGGCUCGCUGCCGGAACUCUGUUGCCUCCUGUACGGACGAACAGCCGCACAUUGGCAACUACCGGCUGCUGAAGACCAUUGGCAAGGGCAACUUUGCAAAGGUCAAGCUGGCACGCCACAUCCUCACAGGCCGUGAGGUUGCAAUAAAAAUCAUUGAUAAGACUCAGCUGAAUCCUACUAGUCUCCAGAAGCUCUUCAGGGAAGUAAGAAUUAUGAAGAUUCUAAAUCAUCCGAAUAUAGUUAAACUGUUUGAGGUCAUCGAGACGGAGAAGACGCUAUACCUGGUUAUGGAGUAUGCUAGUGGAGGCGAGGUCUUCGACUACCUCGUAGCGCAUGGAAGGAUGAAGGAAAAAGAGGCCAGGGCUAAAUUUAGACAGAUUGUGUCUGCUGUGCAGUACUGCCAUCAGAAGCAUAUAGUCCACCGAGAUCUAAAGGCGGAGAACUUGCUCUUGGAUGCCGACAUGAACAUCAAGAUUGCCGACUUUGGUUUCAGUAACGAGUUCACUUUGGGCAACAAGCUGGACACAUUCUGCGGCAGCCCCCCCUACGCUGCCCCCGAGCUCUUUCAGGGCAAGAAGUAUGAUGGUCCUGAGGUGGACGUCUGGAGCCUGGGGGUCAUCCUCUACACGCUGGUCAGCGGCUCGCUGCCCUUCGAUGGGCAGAACCUGAAGGAGCUGCGUGAACGUGUGCUGAGGGGAAAGUAUAGGAUCCCUUUCUACAUGUCUACAGACUGUGAGAACCUGCUGAAACGUUUCCUGGUGUUGAACCCAGCCAAGCGGGGCACACUUGAGCAAAUCAUGAAGGACCGCUGGAUCAAUGCAGGCUGCGAGGAAGAUGAGCUCAAGCCCUUUGUGGAGCCAGAACUGGACAUUUCUGACCAAAAGAGGAUAGACAUAAUUGUGGGGAUGGGCUACUCCCGGGAGGAGAUCCAGGAGUCCCUGGCACGCAUGAAGUAUGACGAGAUCACCGCCACCUACCUGUUGCUGGGCAGAAAGUCGUCUGAGCUGGAGGCCAGCGAUUCCAGCUCCAGCAGCAACCUGUCACUCCCCAAGACCAGACCGAAUAGUGAGCUCAACAACGGCCAGUCUCCCUCCCACCACAAAGCUCCGCGGGGCGUCUCCACCAGCCAGAAGCAGCGGCGCUACAGCGACCAGGCCGGACCGACCAUUCCCUCGUCGGCGGGCUACCCCAAGAGGAGCCAGACCAGUGCAGCUGACGGCGACCUGAAAGAGGAGGGCGGGGCGCAGCAGCGCAAGUCCAGCACGGCUGGGGUUCGAGCCGUCGCCCCCCCCAGCCCCAUGCUGGGCAAUGCCAGUAAUCCCAACAAGGCUGACAUUCCGGACCGCAAGAAGGGGUCCACUACCCCAAAUAGUAAUUCAGUGUCUGGAGGAAUGACCAGGAGAAACACUUACGUCUGCAGUGAGAGGACCCCCACGGACCGCCUCUCUGUCGUUCAGAAUGGGAAAGAGAACAGCCUGUGCAAAAUGCCCCCCUGUGCUUCUAGCUCUUAUGCGCAUGCAUACAUGCCUGCUUCUGCUGCGUCCCCGGCCUCCGUGCGACUGCGGCACCAGAGGGCCUCUUCCCUGUCGGCCGCGGGCCGCCCCAGCCGAGUCGAUGUCGUCGGGCCCACCUCAGCCGUGCCAGCCGGCCAGCGGAACCCAGUAGCCUCCACCCACAGUGUCACAGGUGCCACCCCUCCAGACCGCCUGCGCUUCCCACGCGGCACAGCCAGCCGUAGCACCUUCCACGGUGGGCAGCUGCGGGAGCGCCGCACCGCCACCUACAAUGGGCCUCCGGCCUCGCCCACCCUCUCCCACGACGCCACGCCGCUCUCCCAGUCACGCAGCCGCGGCUCCUCCAACCUCUUCACAAAGCUCACCUCCAAGCUCACACGCAGAAACAUGUCAUUCAGGUUUACCAAAAGGGUCACUAAUGACCCCCCCACACAGCAGACUACCAACAAAUCAGGGCCUGCCAGCCCCCCCUGCCUCCAUGGCAAGGACCAGUAGUAAGUCCACAACCCACAACCUUCCCUCUUACUUGGUUUUUGUUUUCCUGUGAUUCUGUCUUGUGUUGAGAAAUGUUCACUACUCUGAAUGUUGUUGCUAUUGAUGUUGUGGCUGUGGAUUUUUUAUUUUUUUUGGUCAGUAGAUUCUUUCCCCCCUCCAAAUAUGGGCUUACUGUCAUAUUCAGGUGGGAAAUUAAUAAUAGGAAUCGCCAGUGUGGAUUAAGGGGUUACCUUAAUCCACUUCCCAUAACAGCAGCAUCUGUGCAGGGCUCACUAAUCCUGCUCUGUGUCUGGUCCUUUUGAAUGAAUUGCCCCACAGACGGACUGAAGUGGAUUAGACAUCCCGCUGCAACAGUCCCAGUCUAUUGAAACUCUCUCCAAGAAAACCUAUAAGGGAAAGGCAAAAGAAAUCUGCCUGGUUAACCUGGAUGUCUGCCGGGGCCAGUCCUACUGCUCUGGCUGGGCUUCAUUUCCUGCUAGUGUGGCCUCCAGCUCAGGAUGAAACCUGCAUGCAGAACAGGAGAGGGUGCUAUUUCCCCAGUCUCAAGGGCCAUCCUUCCACUAUAUCUUUGAAAGCCUUCCUGCAGAAUAAACAGGAAAUUUGGGAUUUCUGCCUGAAAGAACCUUCUAGUGAUAAUCUGUGAAACGACCUUUUGUUCAUGUGCACAUAUGAAAAGUAUUGCCACCUUCUCAAUCACACAAAAUACAUCACUGGUCCCAGAUUAAGUUCCCCAGUGUUUUUCCUCUAGGUGUAUCACAUUACUACCAGAUAGUCUGAUUUUAUAUAUAUAUAAAUAUAUAUAUAUAUAUACACCAGAUGUUUUUUUUUCUCUUUUCUUUACUGUGAACAUGUGACCAUACACAUUUCUCCUGCCGCUUUUGUGUGUGUGAAACUGAGAGCAAAAGAGAAGGGAACAAAUGGCAUUCAGUCCUGGCCCAGUGUGUGUCUCUGACACUGUCCACUCACACACUUUUGCGCUGGCCAGUCCAGGAAGUAAGACUGAGGGAAUCGGUGGCAUUGGCUGGGGCUGCUGUUUGGGUUCUGCUCUUCUGAACAGGAUGUGCUGAGGCCAGAAGGCCUGAGCCACUGUCUCAUUGCACUGGCAGAAUUCAGCACUGGUUUUGUUGGUUCACUUCACAUCUGUUCCUGAGGAACGGCCUGGGUGAAUGAUGGUGAAGCACUCAGUUUGUCAGGACCCAUGGGGACAGUCCUGGGCUAGAGAGAAGUGAACGACCAGGUGGCUCUGUCUCCUCUCCUGUCCGGCGUUCUACGUCUCUCCUUCUUCCUGUUGUAUCACCUCACUGAUGGCUGUCAAUUUACAAAUGGGCUGUUUUCUUUGCCUUCACUUUAAAUGAACGUCUUCCUCUUCCCCUCAUUUUUUUUUUCUCCUCUGUAUCCCACUCUUCUUCUGACUGUGUUUAAAAAAGACCCCCCACAGAGUUUGAAAGAAACGGGAGAUUUGAGGGCUCAAGUCGCAAUGUUUCCGGGGACCAGAAGGACGAGAAUAAAGAUUCCAAGCCUCGUUCACUGCGCUUCACCUGGAGCAUGAAGACCACAAGCUCCAUGGAGCCCAGCG